CGCUUUUUUACCUUCCGAAGUCGCUCGCCGUCGUCUUCGCGUAGCGCGCACCAUUCAAUGCCGGGCCUGCGGGCAUCGCCGACGCGUCUUCGCUAAACGCGUCCUCCGACGCCUCUCCUAUACCUUUACCCGCCCAACACCAGCCCAAAGGCGCCGUUCCAAGUAUUGCAUUGAACUGCAGUAGACGCUCACGCAUUGUGUUGCCUCCAUCGUACCUGGGAAGUGUAGUCACCACGGCUCCGCAUACCACGCAGCGCACUGCGUAGCCGAAGAAGGUACCGCAGUCAUCGCGGCAGGACUUCAUUCGAUCCGGCCCCCACGCCGCGACCCGGAAAAGCCCGAAUCGAGAAGAAGCAACGUUUCUUUUUUUCUUCGUCAACGCAGAAGCACGAUUAGAUGCCGUGGAUUGCGCGGUAAAUAUCGAAGACCACGUCGGCUGAACCUCGACGGACGACGCUGCCGUAACAUCUGCAUAAGUGCUCAUAAGUGUUCUUGGCGGUGGUAAGGAGUGCAUUCCAGCCUUAGCAUCACUGACUGGCUACUUACAGCGAGGUCCUACUUCAAGCUCCUGGGGGACCAGCUCAUCGUCACAGCUGCGAGGGAAGAUAUUAAAAACGGGCGUCGUUCAACAGGUUCUAACUGCUAUGGGUGGACGCAGGCAGCCAGCAAGUACAUCGCUAUUCAUCAACCUUCUCAUUGCCAUCACAGCCUGCACUGGUCAGAAGCUUCAAGCUGUAGAAAGCAAUGGAGUGUUCUUUUCAGGACUCCCGAGGCCACCGUCUGAAACAAAUGCGAUAACGGCAAAAGGGGGUGGCGACCUUUUCGGUAACACACUUGGCAGAGGUCUGCAGGAAAAAUUUACAACACCUAAUCCACUGAAGACUGGGUCCACACCGUUCGACUUCCGAUUCAAUUCAGCAAAGCCAGACAAUCGUUUCGUCAUGCUUCCAGCGUCUGGCCCAAGAACUCCCUCGACCUUCGUCACAAGACCAACGUUCUUCACCGGUGGUGCUCCGACGACAACGGCACCUCGCGCGUUUGUACCCACAACUCCACGGCCCGUGCCACCGCCGCCACCACCACCGCCCCGACCGCCGGCAUUCCGGCCUCCGACGUUCGCACAGACGACAUCUCAGCAGGCAACGCAGAGGCUGACGACAUUCAGACCGGUGACGCAGCGACCGACGACCGAGAGACCUGUGACAGAGCGGUUCACGACUCAAAGGCCUACGACACAGAGACUUACAACGCAGAGGUCUACGACGCAAAGACCUAUCACUCAGAGGCCGACUACUCAAAGGCCAACGACGCAGAGGCCUACAACACAAAGGGUCACUACACAGAGGCCUACGAUACUGAGACCAACGACACCGAGGCCCACAACGCCGAGGCCGACGACUGCGAGGUUAACAACGCCAAGGCAGACGACACUGAGGCCUACGAUACCGAGGUUAACGACGCCAAGGCAGACGACGCCGAGACCCACGGUGCCGUUCCCGACGACGCCUAGGCCCACAACACAGAGGCCUACGACACCGAGACCUGUGACGCAGAGGCCCACAUUGCCGCCAAGACCUGCGCCAUCUCUGAGGCCUACGAUUCUGCAGGAGCUUCCACCCACACCGAGGCUUGCUUUCCAACCUGGCACUGCACAAAACGCAGUUUUCACAGGGAGACAAGCCAACACCGUUCUUCCCCGUCGUCCCAUCUUCACCCGCACAACGUCCGCCAGGUCCUGUCGCAACAACCAGGCAACCUACUCCAUUUUUCCCCAUAAACACAACUCCACCAUCGCAGGUUGCCGAAAGGUCUUUCAAUGCCAUCAACAGCGCUCGCCCUUUCGUACCAGUUCCUACGACUACGAGGAGACGUAUUUUUGUACCAGCUAGUGCUCUGAGUUCUGGAACGCUACCGACCACAACGACAUUAAGACCACCCACUCGACUUGCAACGGUCAACUUUGGAACGUCGUUCUCAACGUUCCGACCGGCGACACGACCGACCUCGCCACCUCCGACAGGCACCGGCUUUUCGUUCUGCGACCAAAGGCAGUGCGUGAAGAUGUGUCGUGAACGCUUCGGCGAAAGGCUCAACUCUUCCAGUUGCCUGGCAAACGC
rnacentral:misc_RNA from 1 species